AUGGGUUGGGGAGAUGUUGGUCAAAGUAAGGGAGGAGACCACCUCUCAUAUUGUCUUAUGCCCAAUUUCUGCCUCCAAAGAAAAAAAGAAGUAAAAACUAAAAGGCAGAAAUGAAACCCACAGGCAGACAUCCCGGCGUCAAACCCUGGGCCUAGUUGUUAAAGACAGACCCCUGAACUAAUUGGUUAUGCUAUCUAUAGAUUACAGACAUUGUAUGGAAAAGGACUGUGAAAAACCAUGUACUGUUCUGUUCCAUUCUAAUUACCGGUGCAGGUGCAUGCAGCCACUAGUCAUGUACCCCCUGCUUGAUCAAUCGAUCGCAACCCUCUCACACUGACCCCCUUAGAGUUGUAAGCCCUUAAAAGGGACAGAAAUUGCUCGCUCAGGGAGCUCUGUUUUUGGAGAUGUGAGUCUGCCUAUGCUCCCAGCUGAAUAAAGCCCU
rnacentral:lncRNA from 10 species